rnacentral:rRNA from 1 species
CCUACGGGUGACAGCAGUCGAGAAUCAUUCACAAUGGGGGAAACCCUGAUGGUGCGACGCCGCGUGGGGGAAUGAAGGUCUUCGGAUUGUAAACCCCUGUCAUGUGGGAGCAAAUUAAAAAGAUAGUACCACAAGAGGAAGAGACGGCUAACUCUGUGCCAGCAGCCGCGGUAAUACAGAGGUCUCAAGCGUUGUUCGGAAUCACUGGGCGUAAAGCGUGCGUAGGCUGUUUCGUAAGUCGUGUGUGAAAGGCGCGGGCUCAACCCGCGGACGGCACAUGAUACUGCGAGACUAGAGUGAUGGAGGGGGAACCGGAAUGCUCGGUGUAGCAGUGAAAUGCGUAGAUAUCGAGAGGAACACUCGUGGCGAAGGCGGGUUCCUGGACAUUAACUGACGCUGAGGCACGAAGGCCAGGGGAGCGAAAGGGAUUAGAUACCCGUGUAGUC